rnacentral:rRNA from 1 species
GACGAACGCUGGCGGCGUGCCUAAUACAUGCAAGUAGAACGCACAGUUUAUACCGUAGCUUGCUCCACCAUAAACUGUGAGUUGCGAACGGGUGAGUAACGCGUAGGUAACCUGCCUGGUAGCGGGGGAUAACUAUUGGAAACGAUAGCUAAUACCGCAUAAUAUUGAUUAUUGCAUGAUAAUUGAUUGAAAGAUGCUAUUGCAUCACUACCAGAUGGACCUGCGUUGUAUUUGCUAGUAGGUGCGGUAACGGCUCACCUAGGCGACGAUACAUAGCCGACCUUGGAGGGUGAUCGGCCACACUGGGACUGGGACACGGCCCAGACUCCUACGGGAGGCAGCAGUAGGGGAUCUUCGGCAAUGGACGAAAGUCUGACCGAGCAACGCCGCGUGAGUGAAGAAGGUUUACGGAACGGAAAGCUCUGUUGUAAGAGAAGAACGAGUGUGAGAGUGGAAAGUUCACACUGUGACGGUAUCUUACCAGAAAGGGACGGCUAACUACGUG